rnacentral:rRNA from 1 species
ACGCUCGACACCUACGGGGAGGCAGCAGUAGGGAAUCUUCCACAAUGGACGCAAGUCUGAUGGAGCAACGCCGCGUGAGUGAAGAAGGUCUUCGGAUCGUAAAACUCUGUUGUUAGAGAAGAACACGAGUGAGAGUAACUGUUCAUUCGAUGACGGUAUCUAACCAGCAAGUCACGGCUAACUACGUGCCCGCAGCCGCGGUAAUCUGAGCGGGCUGGCAAGGC